CAAAAAGAGGGUUUUAUCCUACCUAGUUGGGUGACGCUAGAGGAAGGUCCGCAAGGGACCCGCCAGCUCCUCCAGCCCCGCCCCCUUACCUGGGCUCCUCUUACCCCCGAGCAAGGCCUCAGGUGGAAACACUUUUUUCUUUCUUAUCACAAGAAUUCUACAAGGUAACUACUGUCUUGGGGAGGGGAAGCCGCGUUGUCUCCGAAAGCACAGACGGAAGCAACAAAUGGGAAAAAAACACAGGCCAGGCUUGUGAAAUCCCAAACCGGACUGGGAAUCUUCCUGAUCCAGGGAUCAAACCCGCAUCUCCUGCAUUGGCAGGCGAAUUCUUUACCAGUGAACCACCUGGGAAGCCCCGAGGAGAGGAGAUGGCCAGGAGCGCUAGAAGCCCACCAGAGAGCAAGUUGAAUGGAGAACACACAUCCUGAUUUUCUGUAGCCAACACAGGUCCUUUCCUGAAGCUGGAGAUGUAGCACAGAGAGGCUGGUUCUCCAAACACGCAUUCUCCCCACUCAUAUCCUCGUUCAGGUCAGAAAGUGAAAGUGAAAGUCAGUCACUCACUCUUUUCGAUCCCAUGAACUAUACAGUCCAUGGAAUUCCCCAGGCCAGAAUACUGGAGUGGGUAGCCUUUCCCUUCUCCGGGGAUCUUCCCAACCCAGGGAUCAAACUGGGGUCUUACGCAUUGCAGGCAGAUUCUUUACCAGCUGGGAUUCUUUACCACAAGGGAAGCCCUCGGGUCAAAAGCAGACCUCACAGGAGCCAGUUUGCAUUUCUGAAAAAUAGUGUUUUCAAUAAGUGGCUUCUUUUAUAGGUUGGUAUAAUAAUUUAAUUAGUGAAAAAUGUUUCACGAACUUUCUUCUUAAAAAGUUGACCUUCAACACAUGCAGCUAAUUAUAUGGACAAUCAUAAACAGUUUAGGAAUCAACGUUGGCUUUGAGACUCAGUUAGGUGGAUAAACUCAUGGCCCAACUCCUGACUUAAUUCUUUUUGGCAUGAUAGUGACUAAAAUCAGAGAGGACAUUUAACUUUAGGUGUACAUUUGAAUGUAUAGCAUCAGAUUAUGAUGUCAAACUGAAGCAUUAUUGCUAUUAACACUGGAAAUAAUUGCUAAUAGCAAUCAAUCACAUCAACUAGACAGUUACUUUGUGUCAAGUAUUGCACCAAAUGCCAAACAUUCAUUAUCUCAUUUAAUGCUUACAAAAGAAACUCUGGCUUCCACCCCUUGCCCAGUUUUCACACAGCAGUAGCCAGAGAGCUCCUUUUAAAAUGUGCUCAUGCAUGCUCAGUCACUCAGUUGUGUCCACCUCUUUGCAAUCCCAUGGACUGUAGCCUGCCAGGCUCCUCUGUCCAUGGGAUUUCCUAGGCAAGAAUACUGGAGUGGGUUGCCAUUUCCUCCUCCAGGGCUUUUUAAAAUGUGAAUGAGGUCAAGUGUGGCUCUUGAGUAAAGUCCUCCAGGGGUCUCCCAGAGUGCUCCAGAACUGAGCUCUGAGUGCUUCCCAUUGCCCCCAGCACUGUCCUCCAACCCAGAGGGCGGUGUUCAGUUUCUCCAACCUUCAAAAUCAUCUGUACCCAAGGGCCUUUGCACAUGCUCCUCCCUCCACCUGACCUAGCUAAAUUUUUUUCACUCUUCAAAUGUCCCUGCCUCACAGACCUUUUUUCAAACAAAUCACUCUGUUUUCCUUCAUCACGCUUAACAUCAAUUGCUUUUUUGUUUGCUUACUUAUUCCUUUUACUCCCUGAGCAACAAAACCCAGCAGGAUGGAUGGGACACAUGUUCAAUGUUGCUCUCAGACCCAUUCUGACACUUCCGGGAUGCGCAGUGUUAUUCGUCGAAUUAAUCAGUAGAGAAGCACCCUCACAGGAAGAUACUAUUAUUACCCUCACUUUAUACAUGAAGAGGUGCAGGGUGUGAAUAACUUCCCAAAAGUCCUAUAGCUGAAACGGGGCGAUGGCUGUUUCAGUUUACGAACUUCAAUUGAAACCGAAAAACAAAAUGACGAACACAGUUGACCAUGAGGAACUAUUAAGACCAAACUGGAUUCUAUAGAAGAGGGACUCGGAGCUGUUUAAAUUUACAGAAGGGCACUAUCUCCAAAUACAUUAGAGAUGAAGCCGUUACCUUGCACACCUACACCAGCCACACAGGUUAAUAUUAAAAUGUUCUGUGGCUUCUGAUGCGGUGUUUCCUGCUAUUCUUUUUUUUUUUUUUUUUUAAAUUUUCAAAGUAUUUGAGGAUUCAGACUAUGUCUCUUCAAAUCGCAUGGGCUGACGGGCGUUCCAUCCAGUCAUUUCUGCUCUUACCUACGGAAACCAGCAGAAUGUGGUUUUAUUUCACAAUAGUAGGAGACAAAUGGAGCCACAAACCCAGUGACCUGUUCUUCUAGUGCACGGGUUCUGGGUCCUCAGAUUCCACCAACCUCACAUCAAAAAUAUUCAGGGGAAAGAAGAAUUCCAGAAAGUUUCAAAAAGCAAAACUUGAAUUUGUUCCACGUAGGCAGCUAUUGACAUAGUAUUUACAUUGUAUUAGGUAUUAUAACUACUCUACUGUGCUUUCAUCGCUUAGUCGUGUCCGACUCUUUGUGACCCCAUGAACUAUAGCCCACCAGUCUCCUCUGUCCAUGGGGAUUCUCCAGGCAACAAUACUGGAGUGGAUUGCCAUGCCCUUCUCCAGGGAAUCUUCCCAACCCAGGGACUGAACCCAGGUCUCCCAUAUUGCAGGCGGAUGUUUUACCAUCUGAGCCAUCAAGGAACCCUUAUAACUACUCUAGAGAAGUUUAAAGGAGGAUGUGCAUGAGUGUGUGUGUGCUGUUUUAUAUAAAGGACUUGAGCAUCCUUAGACACCCUGAGACCGACCCAGACAGAUACCAAGGGACCUGUACAGUAAGUCCCCUGCGUAUGAACUUUCAAAGAUGUGAAUGUUCCCCUGUAUGCCAGCUGUUGUAUUGUACUACUGUACUUUUCAAGGUAGUGUACUGUAAGAUGAAAAAAUGUUUAUUUUUUAUGUAUUGUUUGUGUGAAAAAUAUUAUAAACCUAUUACAGUACAGUACUGUAUAGCUGAUUGUGUUAAUUGGGUAUCUAGGCUAACUUUGUUGAACUUAAAAACAAACUGGACUUACAAACAUGCUCCUGGAACUCAGUGUGGUCGUAUGUAAGGGACUUAGCAUACUUUAAAAUUUUUGAAGAAAUCAUCAGAAGCCCUCACCCAAGAGAAAAGCUAAAUUCAAAAAGAGGAGGGGCUGCUUCAUUCUAAAAUUGCUGGAGUCCCUUCAAUAUUAAGGAUUCACUGUUUCUGCAGACAGUAAGGAACUGGCUUUUUUGUAACGAGGAAGAUGUCCUUGGUCUUAUCUUUUUGUUGCUUUCACAGCUGAGAAAACCCUGCAGAUCCCCCUGAGGAAGUGUACCCAGGUUCCAGCCAAGCCCUGUACCCUGCACAUGUGGUACUUCCCUUCAGAGAAUUGAAGUUUUCUGUUUCCUUCCGGCGGGAACUGUAGAUGCUCCGUAGGAAAAUACAGGAAUUCGAUUCACAGGGAACAAAACAUGACAAGUCCAGAGGGAGGGG
ensembl:lncRNA